rnacentral:hammerhead_ribozyme from 1 species
AUCCAGCUGACAAGUCCCAAAUAGGACGAAACAUGCGUCAAACUGGAU